GGUCUGUGGGCUUUACCUAUGUGGAAUCUGACUAUAUAUGCCGUUGGUACCUGAGCAAGAAUUACGGCUGCAACAGAUGUGGAGGUAUGGUAAGACCCACCUUGACAUUGAUGUGAAAAAGAAUUUUAUAUCCCAUCCAAUAUCUGCUUCAGUGUCUUAAUUAUUUCCAUAUCCUCAAAAACAUCUGUUGGAACAAAUUAGUAAUAUUAGAAAGGAAAGUAGUAUAGAAGUCAAACCCAAGUCACUUCUGGUUUAAUUCUUAGCUCU
rnacentral:lncRNA from 1 species